UACAGAGGGUGCAAGCGUUGUUCGGAAUUAUUGGGCGUAAAGGGUGCGUAGGCGGUGCGGUAAGUCUGUAGUGAAAUCUCUGGGCUCAACUCAGAGUCUGCUAUAGAAACUGCCGUGCUUGAGUGUGGGAGAGGUGAGUGGAAUUCCCGGUGUAGCGGCGAAAUGCGUAGAUAUCGGGAGGAACACCUGUGGCGAAAGCGGCUCACUGGACCACAACUGACGCUGAUGCACGAAAGCUAGGGGAGCAAACAGG
rnacentral:rRNA from 1 species